rnacentral:rRNA from 1 species
UACGUAGGGGGCAAGCGUUGUUCGGAAUUACUGGGCGUAAAGGGCGCGUAGGCGGCACGGUAAGUCAGGAGUGAAAGGCCUGGGCUCAACCUGGGAAUUGCUUUUGAAACUGCCGAGCUAGAGUGCGGAAGGGGCAACUGGAAUUCCCAGUGUAGCGGUGAAAUGCGUAGAUAUUGGGAGGAACACCAGUGGCGAAGGCGGCUCGCUGGACCGGUUCUGACGCUGAUGCGCGAAAGCGUGGGGAGCAAACGGG